UUUGAUAUGUUGGGGAACACGUAAAGUGAUUGGGCAGGUGAUACCGAGACUUGGAAGAGUACAUUUAGAUAUGCUUUCUCUCUUGGAUCAAGAGUAAUUUAUUGGUCUUUGAAAAAAUAGCUAGUUGUUGCACUCUUGAUAGCUGAAGCAGAAUACAUGGCAUUAGCUUCGGUGGCUUGUCGUGCAAUGUGGCUUUGUAUGAUGCUGAAUGAAUUGAUGUAUGAACAAACAGGUCCUACUAAAAUGAUGUGUGACAAUAAGUCGGCUAUUGCAUUAGCCAAGAAUCUAGUUUCUCAUGGCAGGAGCAAACACAUCGACAUCAAGUAUCAUUAUACUCGUGAGCGAGUUAGAGAUGGUGAGAUUGAACUUAAUUUAUGCAAAUCGGAAGAUCGGAUUGCAGAGAUUUUGACAAAAGCAUUGAAGGUAGAUUCGUUCGAAAAG